rnacentral:rRNA from 1 species
GAUUAACGCUGGCGGCGUGCAUAACACAUGCAAGUCGAACGAUGAAACUUAGUAGACUUCUUCGGAAAGACACUAAGCGGAUUAGUGGCGAACGGGUGAGUAACGCGUGAGUAACCUGCCUUACACAAGGGGAUAGCCUUUGGAAACGAAGAAUAAUACCCUAUAAAACUAUAAAAGCACAUGCUAUAAUGGUCAAAGUGAUAGCGGUGUAAGAUGGACUUGCGUCUGAUUAGCUAGUUGGUGAGAUAAACGCUCACCAAGGCAACGAUCAGUAGCCGGCUUGAGAGAGUGUACGGCCACAUUGGGACUGAGACACGGCCCAGACUCCUACGGGAGGCAGCAGUGGGGAAUUUUGCACAAUGGGGGAAACCCUGAUGCAGCGACGCCGCGUGAUUUAGAAGGCCUUCGGGUUGUAAAAAUCUUUUGUAUAGGAAGAAAAUGACAGUACUAUACGAAUAAGGUCCGGCUAAUUACGUG